GCUGGUUUUUGCCAUAAGCGAGGUAUAGAGUUCCUACGUUAUUAUAUUUAAAUUGUAGGAACUUCAUACCGUGCUCUUGGAGAGCCGUCAUCC
rnacentral:pre_miRNA from 12 species